UUCUUUAAAAAAAAAAAAAAAAAAAAAAAAAAAAAAAAAAAAAAAAAAAAAGCCGAAGAAGAAGGAAUUUUCAAUAGUCCCACUUGUCAAGCGAAGACCAUCUUUUAACCUUCAACAGCAGCGAAAGCCGUGUGAACUCUCGGUGAACCAAGAUUGAAGUCAUAAAUCACGCGUACAAAGGCGGCUGCGGAGGCUGGCGCGGGCUGCUGCACCUUUAACGCUUUCUGGGGCUGACAGGCGGCGGCCCAGCUAAAGUUCACCGCGCCGGGGAGGGCCCGCCGCCCCCGCCCCUCCCCCGCCGGCCCGGCCCGGCCCGGCCCCGGCCCGCCGGCCCGCGCCCCGCGGAGGAGGCCCGAGCCGCGCCGGCGGAGGCCGCGGGUGUGCAUUUUCGCUCCCCAAGCCCGCUGCAUCCCGAUCGGCUAUCCCCACCCCUCCGCCUGCAGCAUUUAAAUGGGCAAUCGGUCCGCGCGGACACAAUCAUGCAGCUCGUUUUGCCCGGGGCAUUUCCCGCAGGACCCCAGGAGAGGGGCCUCCCGCCCCCGGCCCCCCCUGAGAGCCCGCAUCCUUCCUCCCGACGACACCGGUCCUGGGGGUCCGGUGGGAUCCGAGUGGGGACCAGAACACCUGGCGGAAACAUGCCAUAUAAUUAGAAGGGGUUUCUUUCUUUCUUUCUUUCUUUCUUUGCUAAGAGGUUAGAAGCGGCUGCCGGGCUGAGCGGAGCGGCGGGCGGGAGAGCAGAGGCGCCCGGCCCGCCGCCCGGCGAGGUCCCAGCUCCCGCUGCAGCCGGACUCGUUCCGUUCCUCGGCCUCUCGGCCUCCUGCUCCCAUCGGUUUCUCCUCCCUUCGCCAUCUUCUCCGUUUAAUUAAAGUUCAGCGACUCCACUUGCCUUUCCUUCCACUCUCGUUUUUUUGUUUUGUUUUGUUUUGUUUUGUUUUCUCGGAAAGCUGAAAGCAGACGGCCCAGCGGCCCCAGCACAGCCCGGGCUGCCGCCGGCGGGGCGUCCCCUAGCCGGCCUCCCUCCGCCGGCCACCGCCUUCUGGACCGGGCCCCCCGCCGCUCCACCACCCCAAGGUGUGCCGCCGCUGGCCUGGGGGAUCUGGACGACGGGGGCUGGGGUAAGAGUGUCCUGUCUUCCCCUGGACCCCCAGGCCCGCUCCAGAAAGUUUGAAGGGCGUAUAUACCCGGACUCAGCCACCCCGCUCCCCCAAACCCAUGACCGACUAAUCGAUGACAAAAUCCCGUGAUGGAUUUGGUAUAUGUUAAUUCACAAUGCCCUUUCCUCCAGAAUUUAACUAUAAGUUAAUACACACCGGAAACCACGCGCAUACACGGUCGUUAAUGGGCUUAGGUAUUAGCGAGCCCUAACGAUGCAUACAAAUGUGCUCUGCGCUCUGUAGGCCCCUCAAGAUUUAUGGGCCUUGAGCUCUCUGAAGCUGUAAACAAGGAGAAAAAAGAGAAAGAGAGAGAGACUGGGGGAAAAGAGACAGGGGCCCGGCUUACCCCUCCAGGUUGUGGGAGACAAGGGAUCUUUGCAAGUGGGUUUUACUCAUUUUCCUUUCCUGACCAGCUCCCCUCGCUGGCCCGCGUGGGUUUGGGUUUGGGCAGGGUCUGGGGGUGGUGUUUGUGGCUGAGAGGCAGUGUGCGGGGGCAGUGUGUUGUUUGCAUGCCGGGGGUAGGAGGAUGGCUGCCUCCUGUGAGUUGUUGUGCGGGGCCUGAAUGGAGCAGACACUGUGGGCAUAUGCUGUGUGUGCACACCUGCUAGGUGUGUGUGUGUGUGUGUGUGUGUGUGUGUGCACGUGUGACAAGCAGGCUUCCCUCUGGAUCUGGCUGCUGUCCUCUGAACCCAGUGAACAAAUCUCCAACAGCCAUCAUAAUAACAAUAAAUAAAGACAGUGGUUAACAGCCCCUCCCUAGCAGGAUAACAGUAAAAGGCAAGAGGAGAUAUUUGGAAGAGGGGAUGGAGAAGGGGUCAUGGUCACUGAAUCUGAGGGGAAGGCAAGAAAAGAAGUUAGCAUCUUCGUAUGUUCUUGGGGGGCUGGGGCUGGGACCCCAGGAGGAGGUUCCUCAGCCAGAGGAGCAGAGGGGGGCCAGGAGGCUGCUCUUGCCUGCUGCUCUUUUCCAGCUUUUGCUUCGUGUGAUCAGGGGAGGGCUGGUGGCUUUGGGGACUUUCUGGAGCCCCUGUUUUAAAGAGAAGGCCAACCGCGUAGGGUCAGGCCAAGGGGCAGACGCAGGGAAGGCGAGGACCACAGCCUGGGCUGUAUGCUGGCAGGAGGAGGUACCGGAGGAGAGCACGGCCGGCCAGGCAGGGGGGGGAUUUAUGGCCGUGGAGAGAGGGGAGAGCAAGGGCAGGGCUCCGUAGGCCCAGCGAAAGUUUCCUUCGUAGGGUCUUUGCAGAGAGAGAGAGAGAGAGAGGGAGGGGGGGAGGGAGGAAAGAAGGAGAAAGGGGAGGAAAGAAGGAGAAAGGGGAGGCCCGUGUAAAUUUCCUUCGCGCGGCUAGAACAGAGCGAAUUUCCAUGAAGGAGGAGAAGACACGGCCCCGGAUCCUUCCCUGGACGCCUCACUCUCCCAGGCCUCGCCGCUUGCCCGAGCCCUCGGCCGGCCACCAGGAGACGGAGCGAAGGAGCCUGCGGGCUGCAGGGCUUCCCAGAGUCCAGCCACCUCCACCUCUGUGCCCUGUCAUAUGUGACUGUGCUCCUGUCAGGAUUACCUUACAAAGAAGAAGAAGGAAAGCCGGGUGUUUAUAGCUAGUUCUGCUGAUCCGUUCACAUCUGGAGGGUUUAUUUAUAACUCCCACUAGAACUCUCUCUGUUUGGAAGCGCCGGUGGCUCCAUUGACAGACUGAUGCCUAGAAAAUAUUGCUCUAUCUCUAACCAUACCUAAAUGUGCUGUGGUUGUAUUUACAGAUUUAUGCUCGAGGAAAAUAUAAUUAUUUCCAUUGUGUUUGUGCAUAUACAAUAGUUACAGGAGCAGAUUUAUAUAUGGGAAAAUAUACGACUCUCUUAUAGCCAUCCAGCUUUAUGGACAUUUGAUAUCCUGACAGAUUUAUAACUCCGAGCAGCUAUAUAGAUAAAUGUAUAUCGUUGGAAUUACA